rnacentral:rRNA from 1 species
GAUGAACGCUAGCGGCAGGCCUAAUACAUGCAAGUCGAACGGGAUCUGAGGGUAGCUUGCUACCCGAUUUGAGAGUGGCGCACGGGUGCGUAACGCGUGAGCAACCUACCCAUAUCAGGGGGAUAGCCCGAAGAAAUUCGGAUUAACACCGCAUAAUAAUACGCUAACACAUGUUGAUGUAUUUAAUUAUUUAUAGGAUAGGGUUGGGGUCGCGGGACAUUAGCUAGUUGGUAAGGUAACGGCUUACCAAGGCGACGAUGUCUAGGGGCUCUGAGAGGAGAAUCCCCCACACUGGUACUGAGACACGGACCAGACUCCUACGGGAGGCAGCAGUAAGGAAUAUUGGUCAAUGGGCGCAAGCCUGAACCAGCCAUGCCGCGUGCAGGAUGACUGCCCUAUGGGUUGUAAACUGCUUUUGUUAGGGAAUAAACCUUCUUACGUGUAAGGAGCUGAAUGUACCUAAAGAAUAAGGAUCGGCUAACUCCGUGCCAGCCGCCGCCGUAA